rnacentral:tRNA from 3 species
GCCCAGGUGGUGAAAUUGGUAGACACGCAUGAUUCAGGUUCAUGUGCCGCGAGGUGUGGGGGUUCGAAUCCCCCCUUGGGCACCA